UACGUAGGGCGCAAGCGUUGUCCGGAAUUAUUGGGCGUAAAGAGCUCGUAGGCGGUUUGUCGCGUCUGCUGUGAAAACGCGAGGCUUAACCUCGCGCCUGCAGUGGGUACGGGCAGACUAGAGUGCGGUAGGGGAGACUGGAAUUCCUGGUGUAGCGGUGGAAUGCGCAGAUAUCAGGAGGAACACCGGAAUGGGCGAAGGCAGGUCUCUGGGCCGU
rnacentral:rRNA from 1 species